rnacentral:rRNA from 1 species
GAUUAAGUUAUUAAGGGCGCACGGUGGAUGCCUUGGCACUAGAAGCCGAUGAAGGACGUUACUAACGACGAUAUGCUUUGGGGAGCUGUAAGUAAGCUUUGAUCCAGAGAUUUCCGAAUGGGGAAACCCAGCAUGAGUUAUGUCAUGUUAUCGAUAUGUGAAUACAUAGCAUAUCAGAAGGCACACCCGGAGAACUGAAACAUCUUAGUACCCGGAGGAAGAGAAAGAAAAUUCGAUUCCCUUAGUAGCGGCGAGCGAAACGGGAAGAGCCCAAACCAACAAGCUUGCUUGUUGGGGUUGUAGGACACUCUAUACGGAGUUACAAAGGACGACAUUAGACGAAUCAUCUGGAAAGAUGAAUCAAAGAAGGUAAUAAUCCUGUAGUCGAAAAUGUUGUCUCUCUUGAGUGGAUCCUGAGUACGACGGAGCACGUGAAAUUCCGUCGGAAUCUGGGAGGACCAUCUCCUAAGGCUAAAUACUCUCUAGUGACCGAUAGUGAACCAGUACCGUGAGGGAAAGGUGAAAAGCACCCCGGAAGGGGAGUGAAAUAGAACCUGAAACCGUGUGCUUACAAGUAGUCAGAGCCCGUUAAUGGGUGAUGGCGUGCCUUUUGUAGAAUGAACCGGCGAGUUACGAUUUGAUGCAAGGUUAAGCAGUAAAUGUGGAGCCGUAGCGAAAGCGAGUCUGAAUAGGGCGUUUAGUAUUUGGUCGUAGACCCGAAACCAGGUGAUCUACCCUUGGUCAGGUUGAAGUUCAGGUAACACUGAAUGGAGGACCGAACCGACUUACGUUGAAAAGUGAGCGGAUGAACUGAGGGUAGCGGAGAAAUUCCAAUCGAACCUGGAGAUAGCUGGUUCUCUCCGAAAUAGCUUUAGGGCUAGCCUCAAGUGAUGAUUAUUGGAGGUAGAGCACUGUUUGGACGAGGGGCCCCUCUCGGGUUACCGAAUUCAGACAAACUCCGAAUGCCAAUUAAUUUAACUUGGGAGUCAGAACAUGGGUGAUAAGGUCCGUGUUCGAAAGGGAAACAGCCCAGACCACCAGCUAAGGUCCCAAAAUAUAUGUUAAGUGGAAAAGGAUGUGGCGUUGCCCAGACAACUAGGAUGUUGGCUUAGAAGCAGCCAUCAUUUAAAGAGUGCGUAAUAGCUCACUAGUCGAGUGACACUGCGCCGAAAAUGUACCGGGGCUAAACAUAUUACCGAAGCUGUGGAUUGUCCUUUGGACAAUGGUAGGAGAGCGUUCUAAGGGCGUUGAAGCAUGAUCGUAAGGACAUGUGGAGCGCUUAGAAGUGAGAAUGCCGGUGUGAGUAGCGAAAGACGGGUGAGAAUCCCGUCCACCGAUUGACUAAGGUUUCCAGAGGAAGGCUCGUCCGCUCUGGGUUAGUCGGGUCCUAAGCUGAGGCCGACAGGCGUAGGCGAUGGAUAACAGGUUGAUAUUCCUGUACCACCUAGGAUAGGCGAAGCGUGCGAUUGGAUUGCACGUCUAAGCAGUAAGGCUGAGUAUUAGGCAAAUCCGGUACUCGUUAAGGCUGAGCUGUGAUGGGGAGAAGACAUUGUGUCUUCGAGUCGUUGAUUUCACACUGCCGAGAAAAGCCUCUAGAUAGAAAAUAGGUGCCCGUACCGCAAACCGACACAGGUAGUCAAGAUGAGAAUUCUAAGGUGAGCGAGCGAACUCUCGUUAAGGAACUCGGCAAAAUGACCCCGUAAC